rnacentral:misc_RNA from 1 species
UUUCCGUAGGUGAACCUGCGGAAGGAUCAUUACAGAGUUCAUGCCCUCGGGUAGAUCUCCCACCCUUGAAUAUUUAUACCUUAGUUGCUUUGGCAGGCCGUGGAACCACCAUGGGCUCCGGCUUAUGCGUGCCUGCCAGAGGAAACAAACUCUGUUUUUAGUGAUGUCUGAGUACUAUAUAAUAGUUAAAACUUUCAACAACGGAUCUCUUGGUUCUG